GUGCUCACUUUGGCAGCACAUAGACUAAAACUGGAAGGACCCAGACAACUCGCAUGGCCCCUGUGCAAGGAUGACAUGCAAAUUCGUGAAGCGUUCCAUAGUUAA